rnacentral:rRNA from 1 species
UACGGGGGGGGCAAGCGUUGUUCGGAAUUACUGGGCGUAAAGCGCGUGUAGGCGGGACGGUUAGUCGGACGUGAAAGGCUGGGGCUCAACCCCAGAUCGCCGUUCGAAACUGCCGUUCUUGAGGGUCGAAGAGGAGAGUGGAAUUCCUGGUGUAGCGGUGAAAUGCGUAGAGAUCAGGAGGAACACCCAUGGCGAAGGCAGCUCUCUGGUCGACAUCUGACGCUGAGACGCGAAAGCGUGGGGAGCGAACGGG